rnacentral:rRNA from 1 species
GAGGGGCAACCCUUGAGUAGAGUGGCGAACGGGUGAGUGAAGCAUCGGAACGUAUCCAGUAAUGGGGGAUAACCCAUCGAAAGAUGGGCUAAUACCGCAUACGCCCUGAGGGGGAAAGUGGGGGAUCCGCAAGGACCUCACGUUAUUGGAGCGGCCGAUGUCCGAUUAGCUAGUUGGCGGGGUAAAAGCCCACCAAGGCGACGAUCGGUAGCUGGUCUGAGAGGAUGAUCAGCCACACUGGGACUGAGACACGGCCCAGACUCCUACGGGAGGCAGCAGUGGGGAAUUUUGGACAAUGGGGGCAACCCUGAUCCAGCCAUGCCGCGUGAGUGAAGAAGGCCUUCGGGUUGUAAAGCUCUUUCGGCCGGAACGAAAUCGCACUCUCUAACAUGGGGUGUGGAUGACGGUACCGGAAGAAGAAGCACCGGCUAACUACGUGCCAGCAGCCGCGGUAAUACGUAGGGUGCGAGCGUUAAUCGGAAUUACUGGGCGUAAAGCGUGCGCAGGCGGUUCGCUAAGACAGGUGUGAAAUCCCCGGGCUUAACCUGGGAAUGGCGCUUGUGACUGGCGGGCUGGAGUACGGCAGAGGGAGGUGGAAUUCCACGUGUAGCAGUGAAAUGCGUAGAGAUGUG